rnacentral:misc_RNA from 1 species
GAUGAAGAACGUAGCGAAAUGCGAUAAGUAAUGUGAAUUGCAGAAUUCAGUGAAUCAUCGAAUCUUUGAACGCACAUUGCGCCCGCCAGUAUUCUGGCGGGCAUGCCUGUUCGAGCGUCAUUUCAACCAUCAAGCUCCCGGGCUUGCGUUGGGGCCCUGCGGCUGCCGCAGGCCCCUAAAACCAGUGGCGGGCUCGCUGUCACACCGAGCGCAGUAGCAUUUCUUCGCUCUGGGCGCGGCGGCGGGCGCUUGCCGUAAAACAGACUACUUUUUAAAGGUUGACCUCGGAUCAGGUAGGAAUACCCGCUGAACUGAAGCAUAUCAAUAAGCGGAGGA